GGUCCUCCCAAAGAGCCUGGAGAAGUCACUGGGGGCUCAGGAGGCCAGAAGGGGUCCUCUUGGGCUCCCCGGGAUGUUAUGGUCACAGCUUCUUGGUUAUAGACCAGAAGGAGGAGGCUGGAGAGACACGUUUAGUCAGCGUGUCCUUCGUUACCCUUCCCUUCCAAACCACCGACCAGAACAUCUGUAAGCAAAGGAAUAGAACAGACCACAGGAAAAGUGCGGGGACUCCAGAUCAGAACACUUCUGUGAUGUCACUGGGACUAUUCUUAGAGAAGCUGGCUCCCUGGGAGAAAGCAUAUGGCCCUCGGAGACUCCUACCAUGUAAUCUUUGGGCGGGCCGCCAUGGGUGGGACUGGGAUACAGUUACCUUCCACUUACAGCCCCAUGGGCAGUGUCAGCGCCCACUGGCCCUGGCUUCCGGCCACAUGUUCUCUAAAGAAAAUCAGCCACCAAGAUGGUCAUGACCCUAACCCGACUCUGACUUACACCCUGAAGGAGGCGCAUGUGUUUUUGUAGGAAGACCAGAAAAUCUUUGGCUCACUGGCACUUUAAGCACAUUCAGAUAACCAUUUUAAGGGAAAAUCAGGACCCUGUCAUAGGCUGUCAUAGUCCUGUCUUUUGAAAGAGGUGGAGCAACUCUGUCCCCAAGCUGAUUUGAAUGUGACUUGCUACAUCUGCUUCUGUCCUCCUACCUGCCUAGGAAAUCGUGACCAAGCAGGGACAGCCAGAGUAAGGAAUUGGUGUGCACACGCUUCAAGCCACUGACCCAAAGUCCCUGGCAGGGCUUGCUGCAUGGACAGUUGCCUAACGUUAGAAGCGCUACAGGCCGGAAGGAGACUCAGAGAAGGGCUGGAGCUGGGUCCGGGGAACGGCUUCUGUGAACAUGCAAGGCGAGUGUGGCCCUGUCCCCCUGGACCGUGUGUGUGGCCUCUCAGUCCUCUCUAGGUGACCCUGGCCAUUCCCAUGCCCUACCAGGCUGUGCAGGACGUCAGGCUGAGACAGUAGAGUGGCGAUGG